rnacentral:lncRNA from 1 species
AUGCCUACUGACUCUAUUGAACGUAUUUACAAUAAGAAGACUGACCAAUUAACUAAAAUUAGCUCUAAUACCCUGAAGAUCAUCCCAAGUGCCCAAAAUGGGUGCGCGAACACACUGGACAUGCAGGAGCCAAAGCUACGUACAGGAUUUUUAUCUCAAAACAAAGAAAAGGCAAUGAGUACAACUGAAGAAAUCCAAAGGGUACAAGUAGAUUGCUGGCUACUUGGGAAGAUGUGGUGGGAAAACACUUUCUUACAAACUAACAAGGUUCUCAUGCUCACAAGGAAGGCACGAGAGAAAAAGAAGGUGAAAGUUGCUUUUGUGGUUCAGAGGACCGAGGAACAAAUAACAGCAUAAACUCAGAGGCAUAUGAUGGCCAAAUGUUUAUUUGUGAUGCAGAGACCCUGGGAUCCCAAUGCUCAUUAUUCAUCUUCUACAGUGAAGUCACAACAUCUACAUAUUUUUCACAUGGGAAAACCUGAUACUGCAUUCUCAUUAGUAAGGUUUGAACCUUCUACCUCCUUCAGACCUCAUUUCAGCAAAACUGUCUAUAAUAUGCAUGAUAUAAAGUAAUAAAUCCUGACAUUGCAAACCAUAAUAUUAUAGAAUUUGCCGUCUUCCUAGAUAUUUGAUGAUUAUCUUAAAGGUAGACUGAUAUGGAUAUUCAGGAAGCCAUACGGACUUACCCUAUUUUAUUAUUUAUACUAGCUCAGAGUUAUUUCUCUGUACUCAGACAUAAGAAUUACUACAUAAGGUUGGUUAUAUAAGAUAUGUGCUCG